rnacentral:rRNA from 1 species
UCAGCAAUGGAUCUUAGUGGCGAACGGGUGAGUAACGCGUAGGCAAUCUGCCUUCUAGAUGGGGACAACAUCCCGAAAGGGGUGCUAAUACCGAAUGUUGUACCGUUUCCGCAUGGAGAUGAUACUAAAGGUGGCCUCUGAAUAUGCUACCGCUAGAAGAUGAGCCUGCGUCUGAUUAGCUAGUUGGAGGGGUAACGGCCCACCAAGGCUUCGAUCAGUAGCCGGUCUGAGAGGAUGAACGGCCACACUGGGACUGAGACACGGCCCAGACUCCUACGGGAGGCAGCAGUGGGGAAUCUUCCGCAAUGGACGAAAGUCUGACGGAGCAACGCCGCGUGAGUGAAGAAGGUUUUCGGAUCGUAAAGCUCUUUCGUUAGGGACGAACGUGCUCUUUGUGAAUAAUGAGGAGUAAUGACGGUACCUAAAUAAGAAGCCACGGCUAACUACGUGCCAGCAGCCGCGGUAAUACGUAGGUGGCAAGCGUUGUCCGGAAUUAUUGGGCGUAAAGCGCGCGCAGGCGGGAUAUCAAGUCUGUCUU